AUAAAUAAGGAAUUAUUACAUACUUUGCGAUCUCGUUCAAACUCAAAGUUCAGCGAUUCAGUUUUGAAAUGCCUAAAAAAAAGGCUUCAGCUAGCUCUCAAGUAAAAAUGGCAGAUAACACCGGUGACAGCAAAAGCUCUCGUCCUGCUGAGAAUAAUUGCAACGAGUACCGUAAAUUAUUGAAGAAGUGCGAUUCCACGUGGAGUAUCAACAGUGACAGUUACAGGUUUACGGACACCUACGUAGAAUAUUCUUCUUCAAUGUUUUCUUCUAUCGAUGGAGAUUUCAAGUAUGCUUUGGAAUUAACAGACUGCAAGAACAGCAACGACCCCAGGCACGAUGAAUUGAUGUCACUUUUUUUAUGUCUUUACGUUAACCCUUAAAUGCCACACUUAUAUUUUUUUCAAGAUUUUCUUGCACUGGACUGACGAGAGACUUGAUAUCAUGGCUACCUGAUACAUGUGCGUAAAUGUUCAGCCUUUCAUUUGGCAUGUUUGACACAUUGCCUACUUUCAUAUUUUAAGGGGCACAAUUUUUUGAAAAAAAAAUAAAAUUUUUUCAUAUUU